rnacentral:rRNA from 1 species
AACGAACGCUGGCGGCAGGCUUAACACAUGCAAGUCGAGCGCCCCGCAAGGGGAGCGGCAGACGGGUGAGUAACGGGUGGGAAUCUACCCAUCUCUACGGAAUAACGCGUGGAAACGUGUGCUAAUACCGUAUACGUCCUUCGGGAGAAAGAUUUAUCGGAGAUGGAUGAGCCCGCGUUGGAUUAGCUAGUUGGUGGGGUAAAGGCCUACCAAGGCGACGAUCCAUAGCUGGUCUGAGAGGAUGAUCAGCCACACUGGGACUGAGACACGGCCCAGACUCCUACGGGAGGCAGCAGUGGGGAAUAUUGGACAAUGGGCGCAAGCCUGAUCCAGCCAUGCCGCGUGAGUGAUGAAGGCCCUGGGGUUGUAAAGCUCUUUCACCGGUGAAGAUAAUGACGGUAACCGGAGAAGAAGCCCCGGCUAACUUCGUGCCAGCCGCCGCAGUAACAC